CACGACAUUCUUAAAACUUCCUUUACCGAACUAGGUUCCUACGCGGAUAAUACGGCAAUUGUGGCCUCUAACAAAAACCCAAUCAUUGUUUCUACUUUGUUACAAAAACACCUCAACAUAAUCGACCUCUGGACAAAAAGAUGGAAGAUCAAAAUUAACGAAAUCAAGUCCUCCUUCAUUACAUUUACCCUAAAAAAAGGAAUUUAUCCCUUAGUCACAAUGAACAACAUCCCAAUCCCUUCCUACUCAGAAGUUAAAUAUCUUGGUCUCAUACUCAACAGUAAAUUUACCUGGAAUCC